UACAUUUAGUUAUGGGCCCCUGGGGUGGAGCAUUUGGAGAGCAGGGUGGGCCAAUGCUCCACUCCUCAGUUUAUACACAACUGGGAGAAAUCAGGUUAUAUAUAUAUUUUAAUUGGGGUAGCCCCCAAAUUAUUGGGACAUAUAAAAAAGACAACUCUGUUCCGCAGAGUAGCUGUUGACAUUAUAGUUGUGCAGGAACUUUGUUUACUCUACAGAACCUCGGGCAAAUCGCACAUCCCCGUGGCGGCGAGUUUUCAUGCGGAUGUCAUCCAUAUCAACUUUCGAUGCCAGUUUCUGCACCUACCAUGGUGACCACGGGUAACAGGGAAUCAGGGUUCCAUUGCGUACAGGAACCCUACCACAUUCAAGGAAGGCAGCAGGCACGCAAAUGACCCACUCCCGAUGCGGGAAGUUAGUGA